GAUGAACGCUGGCAGUGUGCCUAAGACAUGCAAGUCGAACGGGAGUUUUCGGACUCCAGUGGCGAACGGGUGAGUAACACGUGGGUGACCUACCCCUAAGAGGGGGAUAACCCCGGGAAACCGGAGCUAAUCCCGCAUGUGCUGGUAUGUUUUGGCAUACCAGUAAAGAUUGUAUCGCUUAGGGAUGGGCCCGCGGCCCAUCAGCUAGUUGGUAGGGUAACGGCCUACCAAGGCGACGACGGGUAGCCGACCUGAGAGGGUGAACGGCCACAGGGGC
rnacentral:rRNA from 1 species